GGAAUCUUCCACAACGGACGCAAGUCUGAUGGAGCAACGCCGCGUGAGUGAAGAAGGGUUUCGGCUCGUAAAGCUCUGUUGUUAAAGGAGAACGUGGGUAAGAGUAACUGUUUACCCAGUGACGGUAUUUAACCAGAAAGCCACGGCUAACUACGUGCCAG
rnacentral:rRNA from 1 species